GCCAGACUCCUACGGGAGGCAGCAGUGGGGAAUAUUGCACAAUGGGGGGAACCCUGAUGCAGCGACGCCGCGUGAGUGAAGAAGUAUUUCGGUAUGUAAAGCUCUAUCAGCAGGGAAGAAGAAAGACGGUACCUGAGUAAGAAGCCCCGGCUAACUACGUGCCAGCAGCCGCGGUAAUACGUAGGGGGCAAGCGUUAUCCGGAUUUACUGGGUGUAAAGGGAGCGUAGACGGUAUGGCAAGUCUGAAGUGAAAGCCCCGGGCUCAACCUGGGAACUGCUUUGGAAACUGGUAAACUAGAGUGCUGGAGAGGCAGGCGGAAUUCCUAGUGUAGCGGUGAAAUGCGUAGAUAUUAGGAGGAACACCAGUGGCGAAGGCGGCCUGCUGGACAGUAACUGACGUUGAGGCUCGAAAGCGUGGGGAGCAAACAGGAUUAGAUACCCCAGUAUCC
rnacentral:rRNA from 1 species